rnacentral:rRNA from 1 species
UGGGGAAUUUUGGACAAUGGGGGCAACCCUGAUCCAGCCAUGCCGCGUGAGUGAAGAAGGCCUUCGGGUUGUAAAGCUCUUUCGGCCGGGAAGAAAUCGCUCAAGCUAAUACCUUGGGUGGAUGACGGUACCGGAAGAAGAAGCACCGGCUAACUACGUGCCAGCAGCCGCGGUAAUACGUAGGGUGCGAGCGUUAAUCGGAAUUACUGGGCGUAAAGCGUGCGCAGGCGGUUUCGUAAGACAGAUGUGAAAUCCCCGGGCUUAACCUGGGAACUGCGUUUGUGACUGCGAGACUUGAGUGCGGCAGAGGGGGGUGGAAUUCCACGUGUAGCAGUGAAAUGCGUAGAGAUGUGGAGGAACACCGAUGGCGAAGGCAGCCCCCUGGGUCGACACUGACGCUCAUGCACGAAAGCGUGGGGAGCAAACAGGAUUAGAAACCCCGGUAG